rnacentral:rRNA from 1 species
CUACGGGUCGCUGCAGUGGGGAAUAUUGGACAAUGGGCGCAAGCCUGAUCCAGCAAUACCGCGUGUGUGAAGAAGGCCUGCGGGUUGUAAAGCACUUUCAAUUGUGAAGAAAAGCGAGAGGUUAAUAGCCUUUUGUCUUGACGUUAACUUUAGAAGAAGCACCGGCUAACUCUGUGCCAGCAGCCGCGGUAAUACAGAGGGUGCGAGCGUUAAUCGGAAUUACUGGGCGUAAAGCGUGCGUAGGCGGUUUAGUAAGUCAGAUGUGAAAGCCCUGGGCUCAACCUGGGAACUGCAUUUGAACUGCUGAACUAGAGUGUGGUAGAGGGAAGUGGAAUUCCGGGUGUAGCGGUGAAAUGCGUAGAUAUCCGGAGGAACACCAGUGGCGAAGGCGACUUCCUGGACCAACACUGACGCUGAGGUACGAAAGCGUGGGUAGCAAACAGGAUUAGAUACCCUUGUAGUC